rnacentral:lncRNA from 1 species
UACCCAGUCGCUGUGCAAAAGACAUAUUGUUCUCUGCUGGGUUAGGGGAGAAACGUGUCACCUUUCGAUGUAUGUAAAAAGCAACUUAUUGGAAUGUUAGAGUUUUGUUUAAAAGUGAGGUUUUCUUGAACACAUUUGGAUUAUUAAUUCUUAUGUAUCGUCUGUACUGUUAAAGGGAUAGUUCAGCCAAAAAUGGUAAAUUCUGUUAUUUACUCGCCCUCAAAUUUUAAAAAAACUGUAUAAACUUCUUUGUUCUGCUAAACACAAAAAAAUAAUCCAAAUAAUGCAUGUCAGCAAACAGGUUUGGGGCACCAUUGACUUCCAUAGUACGACAAAAUACUAUGGAACUCAGUGGUGCCCCAAUACUGUUUGGUUUCAAAUAUUGUUCUAAAACAUUCCUGCUUUAAAAAUAGUAAGGUCUGUCAGUAGUCAUUUAACUAAAAUUUUAACAAAAGUUGUCCGGAGCUUUCAAAACUGUACUGAACUGAAAGUCAAAGAUAAGUGAUAACUGUCAGAUUUGUCCUAGUAUCUUACAUUUUAUCUUUUUGUUAUUAUUAUUCUUAAAGGAUGCCAUGCAGAUCCCCAAAAAUGUAAGGAUGUCAUCGUGGAGGCUUUUCCAAAACUCAGACAAGGUGGUGGGUUUGAGUUGCUGAAAAUAUCUGGAAACACAAGGAGCCAUUAUCUCAGCUUGAUACCCUGUCCAAAUGAAGGGUACCAUGUAAAGUAUUUGAAAGAUCCUCAAAAUCAAAUUGGUCAUGCAACCAUUUUCAUUCGUCCACUUCAACGAAACUUAGAAGUUGAAUCACCAAGUCUUCCUAGCAGAGAUGAGUUGAUUGGACCACCUCAAAAAUGUGUUGUAUGUGGAGAUGAAUUCCCCUUUGCAGCUAUAAAGUCUCACAGUGAUGAGUGCAUGAGGUCAGUGGAGGUCAGUGGUGAGGUAGUGAGUGAGAGGGCUACAGAAAGGGCCACUUCAAGCAGCACUGAAAGUACAGUUGUGAGGCAGGAGAGAAAUGUUGUAAAUCCCAGCAUCAGACACUGCACAAUGCAAGAUCGAGAAAGCAUGACAGUUUCACAGCUCAUCACAAUAGAUCAAGAGAGCACUGAACUUGAUGAUUGGAAAUUUGAGCCAGAUGCAACAGAGGCCUCAAAGAAGUACAGAGAAAACCUAUUGAAUACCCAUGAAAGGGGAAAAGAGCUACUUUUCCAGAUGGACAUGAGAGACCGUCCUGAAGACAGGGAGAGAGCAAUCUUGACUUUCUACAAGAUGGCAAAUGUAGAAUGGGCUUGUCCUUUAAAAUGUACACUACAUGGUAGGUAAAGUAAAUCCUAUAAUGCAGGGGUGUCCAAUCCUGCUCCUGGAGGGCC